UGUGACAUAUGGCAUGAUGACAUUUGCCAUUUAUUUACUUUUACAUAUAACCUGCACUGCCUUAUGUAAACAACAAAGAAGGCCAAAUCAAACAAUAUAAUUAUAAUAUAAUGUAAAUAUUACUGAAAUAUUAAAUACACAACAGGACUCAUGGGAUUUGACUUCCCCAGUGGGUUCACACAGAUUUGCAGACUCGUCUCUGGCCAGCAGGCUUCAACUCCCAGACCUCUGAUUUAACCAUCAGGCCUUGAUCCUCGGUAUCAAUUGCAGGACACAUGCCGAUCACCAAACAUUACGACUUAAGCUCUGAUCUCACCGAUUCGCGAGCCCAGGACGUAUUCUCCUUCAUGCUUCAGUGUUGCGAUGAGAUUUACUGGUUUCCAGGGCAUAUUGAAUAUUAACAGACAUUUUCCACCACUAUAGCAUCAAUUAUAAGAAACAUCAAAUUCAAGGGAGGAAUCGAUGAGCAUCUUUACCAGACCCCCAAUUCAUCAGCUUACCUCACAACCCACCUUGUCAAUAAAUGAUGAAAGGGAGAUUCGCUGACCUGAAUACAAACUCCAGGGAACCAAAAGGUUUAAUAAAUCUCACAAUGACUUCUAAAAGACAAACUGAGGAUUAAUUACCUGGCUUGUUUCAUUGGGAGAAGAAGAGGAGAUGUUCCUUCAGAGCCACCCCUCUGUCAUCAAGAUGCACCACCAAUUAAUUGAAUGUGGCAACACACAAAACAAAGAGCAAGUCUGUGGAUUUCCAACAUCUGCAGAAUUCCUUGUGUUAAUGAAUUAUAUGUGACCAUCACCAGUACUGUACCUCUCCAGGUAUUGCAAAAGUCACUCUUCCUGGGACGUAGAAAAGAAUUUCUGAACUGAAGAUGAAAUUGGUCUGGGUGCUGCUAUCUGCAGGAUAGACACUGUCUCAGGCUUACCAGGAUAUUUUUGUUUUUGUUUGCUUUCGGGUUGUAACUUCAAACAGAGGCAAAGAAAGAAAGCGAGAGCAUGACGGGAAGUAAGGAAAUAGUCUUCCCCUGCCCCAACAGCUCCACGACAGAAUUGGAUAGAGUUGGUGAUUAGAGGGUCUGAGUAAAAUCCACAGUCAAUUUGGAUUGGCAACAACAUCUCCCCCAUGAUCUCCAUCAGCACAGGUGUACCACAAGGCAGUGUGUUUAGCCCCAUGUUUUACUUGCAUUAUGCUUAUGACUGUAAGGCUAAGCUCAGCUCCAAUGCCCUAUUCAAGUUUGCUGACAAACCACUGCUGUAGGCCAAAUCAAAGGUGGUGAUGAAUCAGCAUGUAAGAGGGAGGUUGAAAAUCUGGCUGAGUGGUGCCAUAACAACAAUCUCUUACUCAAUGUCAGCAAGACCAAUGAGCUGAUCAUUGACAUCAGGAUAAGGACACCAGAGGUCCAAGAGUCAUUCCUCGUUGAAGGAUCAAAGAUGGAGAGUGUCAACAACUUUAAAUUCCUUGGUGUUAUUAUUUUGGAGGACCUGUCCUGGGCCCAGUAAGUGCAAUUACAAAGAAAGCACAGCAAUGCCUCUACUUCCUUAAGAAUUUGCAGAGAUUCGGCAUGACCUCUUAAACUUUAAUAAAUUCUAUUGACAUGUGGUAGAGAGUAUAUUGACUGGCUGCAUCACAGUCUGGUAUGGAAACACUAAUGCCUUUGAAUGAAAAAUGCUACAAAAAGUAGAGGAUACAGCCCAGUCAGUCACGGGUAAAGCCCUCCCAACCACUGAGCACAGCUACAUAAAAUGCUGUUGCAGGAAAGCAGUGUACCCCCUUUUUACUGGGCAUCUCUGGAAAUGCAGCUCGUCAGCCUCCAUCUAACAGCCACUGGACUCUGAGGCGAGAAGCCCACCUUUCUCAGGUUCCAUACAUCUACGGUUUAUACGACUUUGAUCCCACCAAACCCGUAAGGGUGGGAUGUCUUGCCCGCCCAAACCCCAGAAUGCUGCCCCCCUGUAGUCGCCCGUCAGCAAGAAAUAACAGGUCAUAUGAUUAUAAAGAAAAUAUAUUUAUGAAAGUUAGCUUAACCAAAGAGUUAUUAAAGAAAGAAAGAAGAAAGCAAAAAGAGCCCAUUAUAAUUAAACAGUCAAAUAUGCUCAUUAAUUGGAGCUCAUCUUGAAGUUGUCUGUAACUCACACACUGGACACCCAGUCUGCAUGAAAGCACACACUGCCUUCCGAAUGUCACCGAAAUCCAUCUUGAACAAACAGGCUCUCCCACGGGAGUGUUGAUCCUUCCUCCUUGAAGCCAUUCAUCUCCACUAAGCACCCUGUGCAACAGGGAUGGCAUCCUCAGCCAUCUUCCCUCCUGUCCUCUCCCAACUCCCACCCCCCCUCCAAAAAGGACCUCAACCCACACCAAAGUACAACACAAAACCUCUCCACACAGCACUCUCUACAACGCUCUUCCCAAUUCCACCAUCUUGAUUGGCUGACACUACAUUCCCAAAAUGAACAACAAAGCCCCUUAUCUCAGCUCAAUGCCAAUCAGGCUGAAAACAGAACUUUCUGCUCUAACAGAACUGUUAAAACGAAAUACCUACAGCACAGCAGUAAAGAUCUUAAUCAGGGUGUUACAGCAGCAUUCACUGUCAGGAAGCCCCACCACCCAAGACAUGCUCUCUUUUCCCUGUUGACAUCAUGAAGAAGGUAUAUGAGUCUCAGGACUCAUACCACCAGGUUUAAGAAGAGUUACUACCCCUCAGCCAUCAGGCUCUUGAACCAAAGGGAGUAAUUUCACUCAACUUCACUCCACUAGCCCCAUCAUUGAAGUGUUCCCACAGCCAAUGGACUCACUUUCAAAGACACUUCAUCUCAUGUUCUCGAUAUUAUUGCUUAGUAAUUCAUUAUUACUGUUGUUAUUAUUAUUUCUUUCUUUUUGUAUUUGCUCAGUUUGUCGUCUGCACUCUGAUUGAACAUCCAGACUGGGCAGUCUUUCGU